ACAUCACCGAUGCACUUGCUAAUAAACUCGCUCACCGAAUAAGCAUAUUCAUCAAUGUUAUUGUCCGACGCUAUGCGGAACAUAUCCCAGUCCACGUGAUCGAAGCAAUCUUGAAGCGUGGAAUCCGAUUGGUCGAACCAGCGUUGAACAGACCUGAGCACGGGCGCUUCCUGUUUAAGUUUCUGUCUAUAGGCUGGGAGCAACAAAAGUCGUGGUCAGAUUUUCCCGAAAGGAGGGCGGGGGAGGGCUUUAUAUGCGUCGUGGAAGUUAGAAUAACAAUGAUCAAGGGUUUUGCCAGCCCGAGUCGCGCAUUCGAUAUGCUGAUAAAAUUUAGGGAGCCUUGUUUUCAGAUUAACCUUGUUAAAAUCCCCAGCUACAAUAAAUGCAGCCUCAUGAUAUGUGGUUUCCAGUUUACAUAGAGUCAAAUUAAGUUCUUUCAGGGCUGUCGAUGUGUCUGCUUGGGGGGGAUAUACACAACUGUGAUUAUGAUCGAAAAGAAUUCUCUUUGUAGAUAAUGCGGUCGGCAUUUGAUUGUAAGGAAUUCCAGGUCAGGUGAACAAAAGGACUUGAGUUCCUGUAUGUUGUUAUGAUCACACCACUUCUCGUUAAUCAUAAGGCAUACACCCCCGCCCUUCUUCUUACCAGAGAGAUGUUUGUUUCUGUCGGCGCGAUGCGUGAAGAAACCAGGUGGCUGUUCCAACUCUGACAACGUAUCCUGAGUGAGCCAUGUUUCAGUGAAACAGAGAAUGGUACAAUCUCUGAUGUCUCUGGAAGGCAACUCUUGCUCGGAUUUCGUCUACCUUGUUGUCAAGAGACUGGACAUUGGCGAGUAGUAUGCUCGGGAGCGGUGUGCAAUGUGCCCGUCUAUGGAGCCUGACCAGAAGACCGCUCCGUCUACCCCUUCUGUGGCGCCGUUGUUUUGUGUCCCCGGCUGGGAUCCGAUGCAUUGUCCUGGGUGGUGAACCAAACAGAGGAUCUGCUUCGGGAAAGUUGUAUUCCUGGUCGUCAUCUGUUCCUAAAUUAUGCUCUCUGGUGUAUUUUGAACAUUGAGAGCGGACUCCUGCGGUUGGAUAAUAAAAUGUAAUAAAAGUGUUUUCUGCCUCUCGGGCUGCAUACGGGUUUAGGUCCAACCCCUGUAAGGCCCUGCGUUAAUCUGGCCUUGCACGCAGUCCUGCUCUGUCCUAACACAAUCAGUCCUACUCCUUCCUUAGCACAAUCUUUUUUUUGCUACACAGAGGCAGGAUAUUGGGAGAGUCAGUAAAGAAAAGAUCACACGACCUCAUUGACGUUGACCUGUAUCAUGGGGAUUCAUGUUGCAGGUGCUUUGGCUGCUGAUUUCUACACCACGCACCUGAAAGCAUGUAUGCACUGAGUGGCUCAUGUGUGAACAUCCCUUGUUCAUUUAAUAUUUCUGAGGAAAAGAGGAAUGAAUAUUACAGUACACAACCUACCUUUGGAGUGUGGUUGAAAAAUGCAGACCAAUUUGAUCAGUAUCCAAACAAGGUGAUCUUCAAUGGUGGUAAGACAAGCAACAUUUAUUAAGUGGAUAUUAUUGGAAACCUGUCCCAGAUCAACUGCAUCACGGUCUUCUUCAAUGUAACCACCAGUUACACUGAUAAAUACUUCUUCAGGAUUGAGAAUAGACCAUUCCUUCUAACAUUCAUAUGGAGGCAUACUCAAAUAUAAGUCAAGUAAGAAAUCUGUUUAGUUGUUUAUAAAGUAUUUUCUCUCGUUACGAAGUAAGAAAUCUGUUUAGUUGUUUAUAAAGUAUUUUCUCCUGUUACGAAGUAAGAAAUCUGUUUAGUUGUUUAUAAAGUAUUUUCUCCCGCUUCGAUUACUUGUAUCAAAUUAUAUACAAAUGUAAACAAGUGGCCAAAUGGGGAGGUCAGAUUCACACAGCUGCCCACUGAUAAUGGAUCAGCUGGACUGAUGGAGGCCGACAGAAAAGUGCUUUAUGUUUGUGUUUGCAAGUAUUACAGAUUUGCCUCUCAGACCCAACAUUACUGUCUCAGGUGAGGUAAAAGGAGGACACACCUGUCAGUUUGAACUGCUCUGCUGUCGCACCUUGUCCUGAACACCCCGCUGAGCUGAAAUGGACUCUCCCAACAAAGUCCACACCUAAGAAACAACAAGAAAAUCCAGACCAAACCAAAUCAGUUCUAUUCACAGUGACCUUCACACCUUCAUCAGGAGAAAAACAUAACUUUACUGCAGUCUAUCCAGUAAGCUACAAGACAUCUGACCAUAUCACAACGCUUAAUGUUUUAGAGCGGCAGGUAGCCUAGUGGUUAGAGUGUUGGGCCAGUAACUGAAAGGUUGCUAGAUCAAAUCCCCGAGCUGACAAGGUAAAAAUCUGUCGUUCUGCCCCUGAACAAGACAGUUAACCUACUGUUCCUAGGCUGUCAUUGUAAAUAAGAAUUAUUUCUUAACUGACUUGCCUAGUUAAAUAAAAAUCUAAUAUUUGGGGCCUGUAAAUCUAUCAUUAUGAUUUCACUGAUGAUUAUGGUAUUGAUCAGACAAUUCACUAUAGCAGAUGCACUCUUCAUUAACCCCUCUCCCUCAGUCUCUCUUAAGGACACCUCAGUCUCCCUCAGUACAGCUGACCCAGUAUCAGUGGGCAGUUGUGUGAAUCUGAACUACAGCCAAACAUCCUGUGACAAACUUUACCUGGUUCCAGAUCAGUGGGGGUAAACCAGCCCGGGUAGCAUCUGGACAGACGCCCUCAAUGUGACUGUUGGUGAUGGAGGGCUGUACUACUGUGAAGCAAGAGAUGAUCACAGCAUUGAGAAUUCAAUGAAAGUGCAGCUAGCAAUUGAAGAACUCCCUGUUUGGGACGGUGCACACUAACCAGGCGACGGCCGAAGAGGAACCAGGGGAACCAGCAGAAGACCAGCCUGAGUAGAUCCACUACGGCGAGGAACCAGAGGAACCUGCAGAAGACCAGCCUGAGUAGAUCCACUACGGCGAGGAACCAAAGGAACCUGCAGAAGACCAGCCUGAGUAGAUCCACUAUGGCGAGGAACCAGAGGAACCUGCAGAAGACCAGCCUGAGGAGAUCCACUACGGUGAGAUAGACUUCUCCAAACUUCGGCCCAAAGAGACCCCAGCUGUAGCCCUGGACAGGGAACAGGAGCAGGAGAGUGAAUACGCUGAAGUCAGUGUGAACGGGAGAGGGGCCCAGGAACCUCCAGUUAACAACCUAGAUGGGGUUUAUGCACAAGUGGAUAAGAAAAGUGCAUUUUAAGUAUUUUUGGUAUGUACAGUAUGUAUUGAGUAUUUGUUUUCUAUUGGCAGAUUUUUAUUUCUAACUUUGUGCAACUCAAUUAUUUGCAUAUUUGUUGAAUUUUCUGAUGUGAAAAGUGCUUAACUGAUUAAAAGUGUGGGUUCCACAAGCUAUAGCGAAUUCACCUGAUUGUGCAACUGAAGGCAGUUUAAAGCCAUAUAAAGUCAACUAUGACUGCAUUGCUUAUUCUGGGGUUUUAGGCUCGGUUUCUGUAUAAGCACUUUGUGACAACUGUUGUUGUAAAAAGGGCUCUAUAAAUACAUUUAAAUGGUUGAUUGCUUGAGGAGAGACACAAAAUUAGCUGGAGACAGUGGUUUGCAACAAGACAGGAAGUUGGUGAAGUAAGUGUAAAUAGCCUGACUGAUGAUCAAAUCUAUUGGUCACCGUUUCCCUUUUCUUUAAUACAGUUAUCUUUAUAAUAUUAUAUACACUCCAUGUAUCUUUUUAGGAGUUUUCAUUUUAUGUUGAGUGUUGAUCAAAAGACACAAUUGAGGCAGAUUUUGAGGAUGUUUAUUAAUUGCAUCGUACUAAAAACGUUUAAAUGAAAUUUCCAUUGAAUGUAUUAUUGGUCCAACAUUGAACAUAAAGUAAACAUUAUAUCAUUA